UACGUAGGUGGCAAGCGUUGUCCGGAAUUAUUGGGCGUAAAGAGCGUGUAGGCGGCCAUACAGGUCAGCUGUGAAAACUCGAGGCUCAACCUCGAGACGUCGGUUGAAACCGUAUGGCUAGAGUCCGGAAGAGGAGAGUGGAAUUCCCGGUGUAGCGGUGAAAUGCGCAGAUAUCAGGAAGAACACCCGUGGCUAAGGCGGCUCUCUAGUACGUGACUGACGCUGAGACGCGAAAGCGUGGGGAGCGAACAGG
rnacentral:rRNA from 1 species